GGCGUCAUAGCUCAGCUGGGAGAGCAACAGACUGAAGUCACGGGAAUUCUAUAUAUUGCUACAUCUGGAGGUCCCGUGUUCAAUCCACGGUGAUGCCA